UAAACAUGGGAAGAUUUAUUAGCCAUUGCAGCAGAUCAACCCUUCUGAUUCCCUGCCACAUUCACAUUUGUUGUCAGAUCAUUUUCAGUAUUAGAUGGCAUAGGGAAUGGCCUUGAUCCUCGGUUUGACAUAACUGAGAUUGCAAAACUCUAUGCACUGGAGUUGUUAAGAUUCCGUCAAGUUGGGGUUGAAGUUGCCUUGAAGG